CUUUAAAUAAAUAUUUCCUUUCCUUUUCACAAAUCUCUGGCAUUGAGAGAUGUCUUUCCUCUGGUGGCAGGCAUAGAGAACCUAGUGGGGGGUCCUUUCAGUAACACUAUAGUGUACACCCCCCCUUGACCCUGUUCUGUAACAGCCUCUCUGAUGUAAAAAAUUUUUA